UACGAAGGGGGGCUAGCGUUGUUCGGAAUUACUGGGCGUAAAGCGCACGUAGGCGGAUUUGUAAGUCAGGGGGUGAAAUCCCGGGGCUCAACCUCGGAACUGCCUUUGAUACUGCAAGUCUUUGAGUCCGGAAGAGGUGAGUGGAAUUCCUAGUGUAGAGGUGAAAUUCGUAGAUAUUAGGAAGAACACCAGUGGCGAAGGCGGCUCACUGGUCCGGUACUGACGCUGAGGUGCGAAAGCGUGGGGAGCAAACAGG
rnacentral:rRNA from 1 species